UCCAUCUUGCUCCCUAUGCUCUCUUCACCACCCAGAGAGACUCCGCUGAGAUCUUUUUAAAUGCUAAUAAGAUCAUGUCUCUUUCUCAAAACCUUCCGGAGGCUUUUGAGUACAUUUAGGACAACCCCACAAUCACUGGCACCUGGGUUCCCCACUGACCCUCAUCACCUGCCCUCUGCCCCUUCACCCAGUAAGCUCUUCCGCUCCGGGACCUUUGCCCCAGCUGUUCCCCAUACCUGGAAAGCCCUUUCCUCGAUCUUCCCACAGCACGUCCCUUCUCAUUCAGGGUCACUUCAGCAUUACUUUCUCAGCCUUUUCAGUCUAGCCAUCCGGUCACUUACUAUCACAGUGUCCUACUUUAAUAUUUUGAUUUUCUGCAUAACAUUACCACUAGUCGGUAUUUUUCUUGCACAGUGAUCACCUCAUGUGUAUUGAUGGUCUUUCUUCCCCUACCUGAUCAUUCACCUUCACUGCUACGUCAGGGCCUGACUUGCAGCAAAUAUUUGGCAAAUUAAUUCAUUAAUCUCUUAAGACCAAGAGGAAGUGGAAGGGCCAUGUGCUUAAUUCCUCCUUAUGACUUUCCCCUUGGAAAAUAAGUUAGUGUUCCUGCCACUUAAAGAACGGGGUGGGGGGUGGUGGGAGGCUGGACUCUGGGCCCUGCAAAUCUAGACCCUAACCCUCUUCCCUACAGACGGAAUAUAAUAGCUGUGGCAAAACUGAGGCAACUUGAAACCCUCAUAUUCAUUGUGGAGCACCCACUGAUACAUGGCCCAGUCACCUCAAGAAAAGCUUGACUCGCCAGGCCCUGAAGUGAUUCCACGUGACUGCGGAAGCACAGAUUUACAGAGGGUUCCUGCUCGGAGGCUGACAGGUCAGACCCACUGACCAAAUGAUUCAGAGAGACUGCUUAUGGUAAAUACGGACAUAUAUCGAGCUGAGGCCCAAAGAAUGCCGAUGGUCUCUCUGCUCGGGUCUUAAGAAAGGCCAUCGGGCCUUCUAAAGCCCUUCCCGAUUUCCAUACAAUGACUUGGAACACCGCACAGCUGUUUUUCCGCCAAGAAAACGAAAACAGGAAACCUGCACUCCACAACUUCACACAGAGACUCGAAAGUAAACUUUCAAUUUCAUCAAACUUGCAUUUCGUACAUGGUAAACCUCAAGCAAACAGAAUACUAAAAAUACCACCUGUUUUCUCUUCCUCUCCCCAAGGUACCAUAAUUAUAUCUUGACACAGGAGGGAGAACUGACUUACCAGCUUCGAUGCAUUCCGGCUUCAGGCAGUACUCCUGUUUAGCUUGGAGACUUAAGAAACCUUGACUCACUGAAAAAACAGACCAAAAUAAAGAAAUGACUGGCUGGUAGCAGACCACCAUCAGAUUUUUCUGUAACCAGUGGAAAUGACCUCAGAAUGCAGUGGAGUCAUCCACAUAUCGGCAGCAUGAGAAGAACCAUAAAGCACGGGCUCAGCAUACUAUGGCCCAUGGGGCCAAGUCCAGUCUCCUGCCAGUUUCUGUACAGCCUGUGAGCUAAAAAUGAUUUUUAUGUGUUUUAAUGGUUGGAAAAAACCACAAGAAGAAUAUUUCAUAAAAUGAUCUGAAAUUCAAAUUUCAAUGUUCAGAAAUCAAAUUAUAUCAGAACACAGUCAUGCGCAUUUGUGUACACAUUUGUCCGCGGUCGCUUUCUUGCCACGACAGGGUCAAGUAGCAGCAACAGAGACUGUAUGGCCCAGAAAGCUGAAAACAUUUAUUAUCUGACCCUUUCCAGAAAAAGUUUGCCCACCAUUGCAUUUGAGAAAGAGACUGUGGGGAUGAAGAGGUGAGGGAGGAGGAAAAGAAAGGACACUUUAAAAUAAACUGAUUAUUGGCAUAUGGUUAUACCUGUCGUUUUAAAUUCUAUUACUGUAGCUUCUCUGAGACCACCCCAAGGCCAGUGGCAGUCGCUCUUACUGUGGAAGGACUAAGAUUU